rnacentral:rRNA from 1 species
UACGUAGGGUGCAAGCGUUGUCCGGAAUUAUUGGGCGUAAAGAGCUCGUAGGCGGUUUGUUGCGUCGGCUGUGAAAUCCCGAGGCUCAACCUCGGGUCUGCAGUCGAUACGAGCAAACUAGAGUGUUGCAGGGGAGACUGGAAUUCCUGGUGUAGCGGUGAAAUGCGCAGAUAUCAGGAGGAACACCGGUGGCGAAGGCGGGUCUCUGGGCAACAACUGACGCUGAGGAGCGAAAGCGAGGGGAGCGAACAGG